UAUUUAAAUGUGGUUUAGGGUCUGGAAAACUCGUGCAGUUAUGUGCUGUUAUCAGCUUCUUCUCUUGCAUCUUCGCGAGGAUGGAGUUAAAUAACGGCACUAAGUUA